rnacentral:rRNA from 1 species
AGCGAACGCUGGCGGCAGGCUUAACACAUGCAAGUCGAGCGGGCGUAGCAAUACGUCAGCGGCAGACGGGUGAGUAACGCGUGGGAACGUACCUUUUGGUUCGGAACAACACAGGGAAACUUGUGCUAAUACCGGAUAAGCCCUUACGGGGAAAGAUUUAUCGCCGAAAGAUCGGCCCGCGUCUGAUUAGCUAGUUGGUGAGGUAACGGCUCACCAAGGCGACGAUCAGUAGCUGGUCUGAGAGGAUGAUCCGCACAUUGGGACUGAGACACGGCCCAAACUCCUACGGGAGGCAGCAGUGGGGAAUAUUGGACAAUGGGCGCAAGCCUGAUCCAGCCAUGCCGCGUGAGUGAUGAAGGCCCUAGGGUUGUAAAGCUCUUUUGUGCGGGAGGAUAUGACGGUACCGCGAAGAAUAAGCCCGGCUAACUCGUGCCAGCAGCCGCGGUAAU